rnacentral:lncRNA from 1 species
GUUGGAGAUACUGGUCUUAUAAUAAAGAACACUAGUUAAGCAUCAUACUUAUCGGUGGCAUUCAAAUUAAACGUGUGGAAAACGAAAUUUAUAACGAAGUAACUGAGUUUUGAAUAACAAAAUUCCUAAACGUGACAUUUUGUUGGUUUAUUGCACAACAUUUUCAAAACAGUAAUUUAGGGAAAAAAACACAGAAGUGAUAAGACAUAAAAUAACUAAUUUACCGAUCUUGAAAAAAAAUAAUCAAAUCGAAAAGAAUAGUAUAUGAAAUUUUAGGG